GGCUGCCAUUUGGGAGCAUUUGUCCAUUCUUAUAAGUGGUAUUUAAGAAGAGAAGGUAAUCAAAACGGAGGCCCAGAGAAACAGUUGUCCUUGACAGUCGCGGUUCUGUUUGCUGUAACUGUUCUGCAACAUUUUGGGAAAAGACAACU